UACGGAGGGUGCAAGCGUUGUUCGGAUUUACUGGCGUAAAGCGCGCGCAGGUGGGUGGACAAGUCGGAAGUGAAAUCUCGAGGCUCAACCUCGAGGCUGCUCCCGAAACUGUUCGCCUAGGGACUGGUAGAGGCUGGUAGAAUUCCCGGUGUAGCGGUGGAAUGCGUAGAGAUCGGGAAGAAUACCCGUGGCGAAGGCGGCCAGCUGGGCCAGAUCCGGACACUGAGGCGCGAAAGCGUGGGGA
rnacentral:rRNA from 1 species